UACAGAGGUCUCGAGCGUUGUUCGGAUUCAUUGGGCGUAAAGGGUGCGUAGGUGGCGAGGCAAGUCGGAUGUGAAAUCCCGGAGCUCAACUCCGGAACUGCAUUCGAUACUGCUUUGCUCGAGUACUGGAGAGGAGAUUGGAAUUUACGGUGUAGCAGUGAAAUGCGUAGAUAUCGUAAGGAAGACCAGUGGCGAAGGCGAAUCUCUGGACAGUUACUGACACUGAGGCACGAAGGCCAGGGGAGCAAACGGG
rnacentral:rRNA from 1 species